CCUACGGGCGGCAGCAGUGGGGAAUAUUGCACAAUAGGCGCAAGCCUGAUGCAGCCAUGCCGCGUGUGUGAAGAAGGCCUUCGGGUUGUAAAGCACUUUCAGCGGGGAGGAAGGCGUUAAGGUUAAUAACCUUGUCGAUUGACGUUACCCCCAGAAGAAGCACCGGCUAACUCCGUGCCAGCAGCCGCGGUAAUACGGAGGGUGCAAGCGUUAAUCGGAAUUACUGGGCGUAAAGCGCACGCAGGCGGUCUGUCAAGUCGGAUGUGAAAUCCCCGGGCUCAACCUGGGAACUGCAUUCGAAACUGGCAGGCUAGAGUCUUGUAGAGGGGGGUAGAAUUCCAGGUGUAGCGGUGAAAUGCGUAGAGAUCUGGAGGAAUACCGGUGGCGAAGGCGGCCCCCUGGACAAAGACUGACGCUCAGGUGCGAAAGCGUGGGGAGCAAACAGGAUUAGAUACCCCAGUAGUC
rnacentral:rRNA from 1 species